AUGGGGAAGAAGUAGAGCAUAUAGCUGUUUGUUUUUUUUUUAAAACACAUUUUGUUUCCUAGUAAGAGCUGAGUAAGGCAAGUACUUACAUAUUUAAGUUAUCUUAUGAUUUGUUUACUUGAUCCCACCAUCUGUUCCUUCACUCUCAUGGAUAUUCAACUUCCCUUGCUAACAGGAAUGUAACUCUAAUUGUUCCUCCAUAGAUGGUGAUGGCUCCCUACACAUACAAUUGUGCUAAGUAUGAUAUUCUUUCAUUUGUUCCUUAUUUUUUCUUCCUUUCUUGCUUCCUUUCUUCCCUCCUGCCAUUUAUAUACCACCCAAUAUUCAAAACAGCUUUCAUAUUUAGAUAGCUUGACAGCAUACAAUGUCUUACCCAGGUAAUUAGUCAUCACUUGGGUUACAUGACUCACUUUGAUUUAGGGAUUAUUCUAGGUAAAAUAUGUUCAAAUAAUAUUUCUUCUAGAUAGAGGAACAUAUAGCCAUCCAAGAACUUGGGACUACUGUUAGUAGACCUAGCCAGUAAGCCAAUGAUAAAAGUGGCUUAGAGGAGUUUUCUGGUGGCUCAGUGGGUUAAGGAUGCAGCAUUGUCACUACUAUAGCUUGGGUCACUGCUCUGGUGUGGGUUCCACUCCUGGCCCUGGAACUUCCACAUGCCAUGAGUGGGGCAAAAAAAUACUGACUUAGAAAGAGCAUGAGCAAACUGGUCUAUGUAGUCUUUAGGACUGGAUUUAGUGCUAUAGUUUUAUUUGUUUGCUUUUUAAAAAUCACACAGCAUGUAAUACCUAAAGGCUUAUGAAUGUUUAAUACACUCAAAGUUAGUAGUAGUCUUUCAAGUUUCUAAGGAGUAUGGAAACAACACUGUUGCUUUUUCUUGUGAUUGUUUUUUAACUCUUUAAAAAGAACUUCCUAGUUAUAAAUUAUAACCAUAUUAGAGCUAUAAAUUGAAGACUUUGAUAGAUAGCAAAUUUGCUAAAGGGCUUGUUAUCCUUAUAAAAUUUAUGAGUAUGUUAAUAUUCUAAUGAAAAAUUGCUGAGAAGUCAAAUUCAUAAUUAUGAACUACUUAAUUUAAUAAAAAUGUUGAUUCAAGUAAUUAUUUACUUAAAGCUUAAAUUUGCUGGAAAUCUUCUAGCAGAUUUUUAUUAAUAUCAUAUAAUAAACUAAUUGUGAAGCUUUUAAUUAAAUUCUCAGAGGUGACACUUUACUAAUAUUAUUUUUUCUCUAUGCCUUUGAAAAAAUUGGCUUAUCUAAUUUUCUUAUUUAAGAUGUCCAAGAAUCAGCAUUUAGAAACAUAAUAUAUUCAUUUCCCAUGGCUGGAGUUGGGAACAUUUGGUUCAUGCUUUCAAGGUGCUGGAGCAAAUUGGGAAAGGGAAAUUAAAGAGAUACAUUUCCAAUACUAAAUAGUUUCUAGAUGAUGUAGUUCUUAAAGAUUAAAUUGUAUGUCUUGAUUGGAAAUUCUCUGGUGAGAAACAGGAUAGUUUUGUCUGUUUGUAAUCUUAGGUUGAAAAUAUAUAGCAAAACAGUACAAAAUAUCUUUAACCCUAUUAAAUACUACAUUUUCACCUAAUCUUAAUGGCUAUUUCUAAUAAUUUACACAUUCACUGUUUACAGAGUAUUUCUGAACAUACUUUUCCUUUGAUCUGAGAUUCCUAUUCAGUCUGCUAAUGAAGAAUGGAAUGAAUUAGUUUCUGUAUUAACACAUCUGCAUACUUAGGAACCCAUUAAACACUGCAUGGUAAAAAUCUAAAUGCCUUUGGAAUAACUUCCUCAAUUUUCUCAAAACCAACAUCAUGGAGUAAAGUUUUGAGAUGCCCUGUCAAAAAUGACAGUUUUAAAAGUCUUUUAAGAAAUCCUUGCUAAAGUGAAAGUGCCUAAGGAAGGUAAACAUGAAAAGCAGGUUAAGGAUGGUCUGCCCUGAUUGAGUUUGGUUGUGUGGUCCUGAGUUUUGCCCCCUCACAAAUAUACAGGUAACUCCAAGGGAACCUUUUGAAUCAGAGUUUAUGAGAUGUUGGUCCAUGGGACUGUUUACAAAUUGGCUUGACAUUUUGCUGUUGUAAAGCAAAGCACAUGAAUAACGUUUCUCUUAGAAAAGAAUCCAUGAAGAACAACCCUCUCCUCUUUCCUCUCUCUGUUGACUUAUGUUAUUUAUAGUAGCAUGAGUUUAAAUCAAAUAAAUGAUAACUUAAUUGCUGCAAAUGGCAUUAUUUUGUUCUUUUUUAUGGCUGGGUAGUAUUCCAUUGUGUGUACAUACCACAUCUUCCUAAUCCAAUCAUCUGUCGAUGGAGACCUGGGUUGUUUCCAUGUCUUGGCUGUUGUGAAUAGUGCUGCAGUGAACAUGCAGAUGCAUGUGUCUUUUUCAAGGAAAGUUUUGUCCAGAUAUAUGCCCAAGAGUGAGAUUGCUGGGUCAUAUGGUAGUUCUAUAUACAGAUUUCUAAGGCACUUCCACACUGUUCUCUAUAGUAAUUGUACCACUAUGUCUAGUCACUUAUGAUGGAGCAUGAUAAUGUGAGAAAAAAGAAUGUAUACAUGUAUGUGUAACUGGGUCACCAUGCU
rnacentral:lncRNA from 1 species